rnacentral:rRNA from 1 species
UACGAAGGGGACUAGCGUUGUUCGGAAUCACUGGGCGUAAAGCGCACGUAGGCGGAUGUGUCAGUCAGGGGUGAAAUCCCGGGGCUCAACCUCGGAACUGCCUUUGAUACAGCACGUCUCGAGUCCGGAAGAGGUGGGUGGAAUUCCUAGUGUAGAGGUGAAAUUCGUAGAUAUUAGGAAGAACACCGGUGGCGAAGGCGGCUCACUGGCCCGGUACUGACGCUGAGGCACGAAAGCGUGGGGAGCAAACAGG